rnacentral:rRNA from 1 species
AUUGAACGCUGGCGGCAUGCCUAACACAUGCAAGUCGAACGAGUGGCGGACGGGUGAGUAAUGUCUGGGAAACUGCCUGAUGGAGGGGGAUAACUACUGGAAACGGUAGCUAAUACAGCAUACCAUCAGAUGUGCCCAGAUGGGAUUAGCUAGUAGGUGGGGUAAAGUCUCACCUAGGCGACGAUCCCUAGCUGGUCUGAGAGGAUGACCACCAACCCUGGAAAUGCGACACGGUCCAGACUCCUACGGGAGUCAUCAGUGGGGAAUAUUGCACAAUGGGCGCAAGCCUGAUGCAGCCAUGCCGCGUGUAUGAAGAAGGCCUUUGGGUUGUAAAGUACUUUCAGCGGGGAGGCGUUACCCGCAGAAGAAGCACCGGCUAACUCCGGGCCAGCAGCCGCGGUAAUAC